rnacentral:sRNA from 1 species
CUCUAGCCCCGAUGGACGCGACUACCGUGUAGUGCAAACAGCGGGAAAAUGG